rnacentral:rRNA from 1 species
CAAUAGCGUAUAUUAAAAUUGUUGCGGUUAAAAAGCUCGUAGUUGAAUUUCUGUUGAGGGUGGUUGGUCCGCCCUCUGGGUGAGUAUCUGACACAACCUGAACAUUUUCUUGAUUGCACAACUGUACUUGACUGUGUGGGGUGGUGUUGAGAAGGUUUACUUUGAGGAAAUCAGCGUGUUUCAAGCAAGUCUUGCUUUGAAUACAUUAGCAUGGAAUAAUAUUCAAGGACCUUUGUUCUAUUUUGUUGGUUUCUGGAAUGAAGGUAAUGAAAAAUAGGGAUAGUUGGUGGUAUUUGUAUUUAAUUGUCAGAGGUGAAAUUCUUGGAUUUAUUAAAGACAAACUAUUGCGAAAGCAUUUGCCAAGGAUGUUUUCAUUGA